UGAUGAAGGCAGCAUGGUUGUGUGCACGAAAAUUGAUAUUUUAGGUCAAUUUGUCUGCUCUCUUUGAAGAAAACAAUGAUGAGAGGGCCUGGUUGCGACCUACAUUU
rfam:Phaseolus vulgaris cultivar G19833 chromosome 6, whole genome shotgun sequence.